ensembl:lncRNA
AUGCUGCGUCAUCGGCGACGUAACACACACACGCACAGGAAGCAGCUUCGGGUCAGUCGGGCUACCUGUGUUGACCAGGGCUUCAGCGCAGAGACAUGGCUCCUGGAAUUCAUUUGGGGUAAGUCAUUCUUUUCACUGAUUCUUUACUUUAAAAAGUACGUUGCUGUUGUGCCCCUGUGCUCUGACCUUGGUGCCCGUUGUCUCCUGUGCAGGACCUUCUUGCUGUUUUGUUUGGUUCAAGCAGAGCAUGUGUGCGGUUCGUGGGCUGCACAAGCCCAGAGACAAAACGGCAAAGCAUUUGUUGGCUUCUCGCAGCAGGACGUCGGCGCCGGCAGCUCUCCCCGGAAUCAAUUCAGACAGGCCUCCGUUUCCCUGGGCUCGGCCCCGAGCAGCAGCAGCAGCAGCAGCAGCAGCAGCAGCCGCAGCAUCAGCCGCCUCUUCAAUCCAGCGCCUGUCGGUAGCAGUGGCCGCACACAAACUGGGCCACAGCCGGCCCCCGGUGGCUACGCUCCAGUCAGGUCGUUGCAGGGCGGCUGGGUGUCCAAACCCAACUGGAGGCCCACCGACUCGAAGCUGGCGAGUGCUCAAGGUGUGCCCAAAAAGCAGUUGUCUGUACUUUCUACUUCUAUCGCCAGUGGAAGUUCUGUGAGUGUGCACACACUGAAAAAGAAAGCCCAUACCGAUGUGAGCGAGAGGAGAACUUGGCCAGGCGAGGGGGCGUCGGCCUCCCGCCACCAGUCUGCAGCACAGAAGCCUCCCAGUCGGUCUUCCAGCAUGUUGGGUGCGGGUGCUCCGGUGCCCCACAAUUCUGUAAAGAGGCGCACUUCGGCCACCGCCCCCGCCAGACGAGUGUCUUCACAGCGCAGAGCCAAGGAGUUUAGACAAGCUCAGAUCACAUCCCCUGAAAAUGAGAGAAAGGGAAACCCCAACUGGAGCAAGCUGUUUCCUGUGACGGGAGGAACUGCCCAAGGAAGCUAUAAGCCUACUUCCAACAUGGCCUCGAGUCUCGCAAGUUAUCCCCGGGCACCCUACAAACAAAACGCUGCCGUUUUUCAGCCACGCGGUCUCAGCCCACCCACAAGCCAGAGGUUUGGCUCCAGUGAGCAGACCCCCGGCAGUACGAGCUCUGUGCGAGCGGGAAGCUCCCCUCAGCGCUACGCCCCGACCAGGACCCUCAACAUCCCUUGGUCCUUCGGUGGCUCACCCAUCAAGCGGCUGAAAGGGUCAGUUGUCCAGAAGCCACAAGUGAAGCACACGGCUGCGUCUCACAACCUGCAGGGUCAAGGUGUUCAACAGAAGCCACAAGUGAAGCACUCGGCUGCGUCUCUCAACCUGCAGGGUCAAGGUGUUCACCCAGAGAGCAAAUGGCAGAGGAUCACCAGGCCGCGUCCAACUGCCUAACAGGUGCAGCAGAAGGACUUGUCCUUGUUUGUGUUUUUGAAAUAAAUUCUUAAUCCAAGUCUUGUCUCGACUUCAUGUGGCACUGCUCUCAAAGCCACAAAUGUCUUUGUGGCUGCACCAUAAAUGUAGACUUGGUGCCACCUAGUGUGUAAAAGGAUGCGAUGCAAAGAUGGCUCCAUCUGAACCAGAUCUGAAUCCCUGCAUUUCUAUUCAGACCUUUUUGAAAAUGCAACAACCAGGUCUCCCUCUCUCCAAAGAUCACCUGGGAAAUGUUACACUUGGGACAAAUGCAGGAACGUUUACAACUUGCUGAAUGUAAACUCUAAAACUUGGCCAAGGCUUUAUACUGCAAAAUACUUAAUAUGCUAGUUUAUAGAUGCUGAUUGUGGGGAAUACAUAUCAGAACACCCAUCUGUCAGUGUUCUUAUGGAAUGAUGACAAUAUCCAAUUGCCUGUUUAUCUCAGUGGUUGAACCCCUCCUCCCUGGCCUUAGUACUUCAGUUGUCCUAAGUAGAUCUCCUGACCUGUUUAAAUCUGUCUCUCCAGAACUUGGAUUCCUGGUAUUAACAUCCAUCCGGAGUAUUAAUUUGAAGUGCCAAUAGCAGUAAUAACAUGCUCUUGCCUAAUUAGCAAUAAAAUAUUAAACCUUUGGCCAAUAUGCAAAUUUGACACCUAGAUGUGGAAUUAAUGUAUGAUUUGGCAUAUUCCCUGUAAUCGACUGGGGGGGACAAUGACGCAGG